rnacentral:sRNA from 1 species
CAGUCCCCAAACAAACCUAGGAGCUAAAUAAAACAGUGUGUGCGGUGUGCAAAUGGAGCUUUAUGUCCUCCAGCCUGCUUCCUGCUUCUCUAUUCCUCCUGCCCGGGAGGAGUAGAGAAUUCUGGAGCCACCUUAGUGGGCAAUGGGGCAGCUCCUGAUGGUUCAGGAGCAGGAAAUUUAUGAGCAGAGUGGGGUCCCAGGCCACAGGGAGAUGUCUGUCCACAAGGGAUGGUGGCCAAGGGUUGAAUGGAAAGAGGCAGGCAGGGGGAGAGGGGCGGAGGGUGUGGGUAUUCCCAGGGCCUUGAGAGUGGAAAUGGCCCCUUCUCCUCAGCCUUCCAUUAGCAAGGAUGUCACUGCGCACUUGCCUGAUGACAGCCAGAUCAGUUCACAGUUAGUCUGCCUCUCCUGCCAUCAUUCAUCUCAUGCCUCCAUCCUGCGUCACCAAUGCAUUAGCCUAGUGCCAACACGCAAAGUCCCCCUUGCCCAGGCUCCCUGACCCAAUGCCUGUUCCCACCUCUAGCUUCCUCCCUCUCCUCUGCUUCCAGAGUGCUCUGACCCCAUUUCUCACCCAUCAUAGGUCAUCUUGUCUUGGAUCUGGCCCAGGCCCGGUCCACGUUGGUGCUGCCCACAGGCCUUAUCGCCGCGGCUGGCACCAUGACGGUGACCCUGCACAGCAGCCGGGAGCUGCCCUCAAGGCCUGACGGGGUGCUGCAUGUGGCCCUGCCCACUGUGCUCACCCCGCUGGCCCCGCCAGGCCCGCCGGGGCCCCCCAGGCCUCCGGGGCUCUGUGACGACAGGUUGGGCCUAUGGUGAUUCUCUUCGUCCCUCCCUCGGCUUCUCUGGGUCUAGUGCGGGUGAGGGGGCACUGACAGGGUACCCAGGGAUGGGAAGGGUGAGGAAGGGCUGGGGCCAGUCAGCCGGAGGGGUUAGGGGCCUUCACAGUGGCCCAGUGACCCUCCUCAUGCUCCCUUCCAGCCCCACCAGCUGCUUCGGGGUGGGCAGCCCUCAGGAGGAAGGGCUGGCCUGGGAGGAGCCGGCUGCCCCUCAGGACGUGUUCUCAGGCCCUGCCCGCUGCCCUGCCCCAUAUACCUUCUCCUUCGAGAUGCUGGUGACUGGACCAUGCCUGCUUGCAGGCCUGGAGAGCCCCUCUCAUGCUCUGCGGGCAGAUGCCCCCCCUCAUGCCAGCUCUGCAGCCACCAUCUGUGUCACACUGGCAGAGGGCCACCACUGUGACCGGGCCUUGGAGAUCCUGCUGCACCCCAGUGAGCCCCAUCAGCCACACCUGAUGCUGGAGGGCGGCAGCCUGAGCUCAGCAGAAUAUGAGGCCCGGGUAAGGGCCCGCCGAGAUUUCCAGAGGCUACAGCGAAGGGACAGUGAUGGGGACCGGCAGGUACCGCCAUAGGAGCCUGGCCUGGCCCCCAGCCUUGGCUGCGUUUGUGCACGAGGAGCAGGCAAGCAGGCUUACAUUGGGAUGGGUGCGGGGAGGCCUCUUUUCUCAGCAAGAUCUCUCCACAGCUGCCACCAACCAUCGCAGAGGACAGAUGAGUAUUGUCAUUGGAGGGAGGAUGUGAAUCUCUCUGGGGUGUGUCUCAGAGGAUGGAGGCUAGGUCUGAUAUAAACAGAAGACAGCCA